rnacentral:rRNA from 1 species
GAUGAACGCUGGCGGCGUGCCUAAUACAUGCAAGUCGAGCGAACGGACGAGAAGCUUGCUUCUCUGAUGUUAGCGGCGGACGGGUGAGUAACACGUGGAUAACCUACCUAUAAGACUGGGAUAACUUCGGGAAACCGGAGCUAAUACCGGAUGAUAUUUUGAACCGCAUGGUUCAAAAGUGAAAGACGGUCUUGCUGUCACUUAUAGAUGGAUCCGCGCUGCAUUAGCUAGUUGGUAAGGUAACGGCUUACCAAGGCAACGAUGCAUAGCCGACCUGAGAGGGUGAUCGGCCACACUGGAACUGAGACACGGUCCAGACUCCUACGGGAGGCAGCAGUAGGGAAUCUUCCGCAAUGGGCGAAAGCCUGACGGAGCAACGCCGCGUGAGUGAUGAAGGUCCUCGGAUCGUAAAACUCUGUUAUUAGGGAAGAACAUAUGCGUAAGUAACUGUGCACAUCUUGACGGUACCUAAUCAGAAAGCCACGGCUAACUACGUG